rnacentral:rRNA from 1 species
CACGGGGGUUGCAAGCGUUGUCCGGAAUUACUAGGCGUAAAGGGCAGGUAGGCGGAUACAUAAGUUUGAUGUUAAAGGCAGCGGCUCACCCGCUGUACGGCAUUAGAUACUGUGUAUCUGGAAUGCGGUUGGGGAAGACAGAAUUCCUGGUGUAGCGGUGGAAUGCGCAGAGAUCAGGAGGAAUACCAAAGGCGAAGGCAGUCUUCUAAGCCGUAAUUGACGCUAAACUGCGAAGGUGUGGGUAUCAAACAGGAUUAGAUACCCUGGUAGUCCACACAGUAAACGAUAAUCACUAGGUGUUGGGUUCGAAGAGGAUUCGGUGCCGUAGCUAACGCGAUAAGUGAUUCGCCUGGGGAGUACGAUCGCAAGGUUGAA